AGCAAUACCUGAGUACAGCGGCGCACGGGUGAGUAACACGUGGGUAAUCUGCCCUGGAGUGGGGAAUAACACCGGGAAACCGGUGCUAAUACCGCAUAAGAUGACGAGGUCUGCGGAUUUUGUCAUGAAAGGAGCAAUUCGCUCCAGGAGGAGCCCGCGGCUGAUUAGCUAGUUGGUGAGGUAAUGGCUCACCAAGGCAUCGAUCAGUAGCCGGUCUGAGAGGACGGUCGGCCACACUGGAACUGAGACACGGUCCAGACUCCUACGGGAGGCAGCAGUGGGGAAUUUUUGGCAAUGGGGGCAACCCUGACCAAGCAACGCCGCGUGGAUGAUGAAGUAUCUCGGUACGUAAAAUCCUUUCGACAGGGAAGAAACCCGCAAGGGUUGACGGUACCUGUAGAAGAAGCCCCGGCUAACUCCGUGCCAGCAGCCGCGGUAAUACGGGGGGGGCAAGCGUUGUUCGGAAUUACUGGGCGUAAAGGGCGCGUAGGCGGUUUGCUAAGUUGGAUGUGAAAACUCUGGGCUUAACCCAGAGCCUGCAUCCAAAACUGGCAAGCUCGAGUUUUGGAGGGGGAAGCGGAAUUCCUGGUGUAGCAGUGAAAUGCGUAGAUAUCAGGAGGAACACCGGUGGCGAAGGCGGCUUCCUGGACAAAAACUGACGCUGAGGCGCGAAAGCUAGGGGAGCAAACAGGAUUAGAUACCCUGGUAGUCCUAGCCCUAA
rnacentral:rRNA from 1 species